GGCACUGUGAUGAUUUAAUAUUUAAUCAAUGGGAAUCUCUCUGAAUAAGAAUGAAGGAGAACCUUUCACUGAUGGUGCU